rnacentral:rRNA from 1 species
GAUGAACGCUGGCGGCGUGCCUAAUACAUGCAAGUCGAGCGAACGGACGAGAAGCUUGCUUCUCUGAUGUUAGCGGCGGACGGGUGAGUAACACGUGGAUAACCUACCUAUAAGACUGGGAUAACUUCGGGAAACCGGAGCUAAUCCCGGAUGAUAUUUUGAACCGCAUGGUUCAAAAGUGAAAGACGGUCUUGCUGUCACUUAUAGAUGGAUCCGCGCUGCAUUAGCUAGUUGGUAAGGUAACGGCUUACCAAGGCAACGAUGCAUAGCCGACCUGAGAGGGUGUUCGCCCACACUGGAACUGAGACACGGUCCAGACUCCUACGGGAGGCAGCAGUAGGGAAUCUUCCGCGAUGGGCGAAAGCCUGACGGAGCAACGCCGCGUGAGUGAUGAAGGUCUUCGGAUCGUAAAACUCUGUUAUUAGGGAAGAACAUAUGUGUAAGUAACUGUGCACAUCUUGACGGUACCUAAUCAGAAAGCCACGGCUAACUACGUG